GUGUCCCGAGACGGCUCCUGGGAGGCGGGCUGCCUGUCUAAGUGGGGGUGGUGGGAUUCCGGCGGUACCUGCGCUGGAAGUCCACGGCGUAGGGCUUCAAGUACGGGUCGAUCUCCAGGAGUCUGGCCAGUUCGGGCACGUCAGCCAGGGCGGCAUUGAGCGCCGCCUCGUAGUCCUCGGGCCGAGCCGCGGGAGUCAUCGGAGCCGCCAUAUUCCGCCGCAGUCCAAGUAGCCGAGGCCCGAGAGGUCGAGUGGGGCCUGAGCGGGCGCUGGAGCUCUAGCUGGGACGCGGCGGCUAGGGCGGAGCCGGAGGGCGCCUAGGCGUGUCGAGGCAAGCCGAGGCGAGCCGCGGCGGUCCGG
rnacentral:lncRNA from 1 species